GUUGAACGCUGCCAGCAUGCCUAACACAUCAGCCACUGAUUGGUGGCGGACGGGUGAGUAACGCGUACAGAACUUGACUCACCGCUAGGGACACAAUUUGGAAACGAAUGCUAAUACCUAAUACUGUGCGAGAGCUUUUCGUCCCCUUAGCUAGUUGGAGAGGUAACGGCUCACCAAGGCGAUGAUGGUUAGCCGGCCUGAGAGGGUGAUCGGCCACAAGGGGACUGGGACACGGCCGUUGGGGCUACGGGAGGCAGCAGGGGGGACGAUUGGACAAGGUACGAAAGUGUGAUACAGCAAUUCUGUGUGAACGCUGAGGUUGUCGGAAUGUAAAGUGCUUGGAGAUGGGAAGCGUUACCAACAGAAGAAGUGACGGCUAAAUACGUGCCAGCAGCCGCGGUAAUAC
rnacentral:rRNA from 1 species